CAAGUCGAGGGGCAGCAUGAACUUAGCUUGCUAAGUUUGAUGGCGACCGGCGCACGGGUGAGUAACACGUAUCCAACCUGCCGAUGACUCGGGGAUAGCCUUUCGAAAGAAAGAUUAAUACCCGAUGGCAUAGUUCUUCCGCAUGGUAGAACUAUUAAAGAAUUUCGGUCAUCGAUGGGGAUGCGUUCCAUUAGGUUGUUGGCGGGGUAACGGCCCACCAAGCCUUCGAUGGAUAGGGGUUCUGAGAGGAAGGUCCCCCACAUUGGAACUGAGACACGGUCCAAACUCCUACGGGAGGCAGCAGUGAGGA
rnacentral:rRNA from 1 species